AUACUCACUUGGGAAGCACAUAUAUUAAAACCAGAGUGAUACACAGAAGAUUAAUAUUGUCCCUGUGUAAGCAUGGCAGGAAAAUUUGUGAAGCAUUCAAUAUAUCU